rnacentral:lncRNA from 1 species
GUCAAUAGACAACAUAUUCAUAUUUUAAAAUAGUGUACAUUUAAACACAAAAGAAAACUACCCUUUAACAGGUAAUUUUUGGGUGCUAGAAAUAGCAGCCAACACGGCCAAAACCACGAUUUAAUAGCAAUUUUCGAAGUAAAUGAAAAAUAAAACUUUUACCUUGUUAUAUUUAUUAUCGGUUAUACCAUGGUUUCGAAUUUCUACACCAAAUAAGUUUAUUUACCAUCCUUUAAUAGGUAAUUUAGCAAAACAAUAUUAUUCGCCAGGCGAAUUCUCGUCAGUAACCGGCCUAUAUUAUAUAUAUAUCGGGAGAAUUCACAAAAAAAAGACAAAGACAGCAGGUGGUGUAGACAACAAACAGAUGUAUUAGUUUAACGCUCGGGAAGUGAAAAAAGUCUUUAACGUUUCGAGCCUACGCUCUUCCACAAAGGAACACAGAAAGAAACAGGGAGAGAAAAUAAAGAAUGUGUAGUGGCUAGUGAUCUAUCAUGGCGAAAGCCGAUAUACAGAUAUGCAUGCAUGCAUACAUACAUACAUACAUACAUACAUACAUACAUACAUACAUACAUACAUACAUACAUAGAAACAUACAUAUAUACAUACAUGUAUGUAUGUGUUAAUGUUUGUUUUUCUGUUUAGUUACAAUAAAAACAAUUUUACAUUAAUCUGACGGGUUACUCUAUACUUUUCUUGAGUAUGAAUUUAUUGACAGCGACUUCGAAGUGUCGGCCAGCUAAGCCGUCGUCGGACUUUGCGUGUACGUGUACGUGUGUGUGUGUGUGUGUGUGUGUGUGUGUGUGUGUGUGUGUGUGUGUGUGUGUGUGUGUGUGUAGGUAUUCAUGGAUCUAUCGAAAAUCUCGUAAGAAUUACAUAGGAAGUAUCAAAACAAAGAUUUCGGGCGUACGCGAAUUGACAUGUAGCUCAAAGCACACCACCUCUUCCUAAUCCUCUCUUUCUUUUUCUCCCUCUCUUUCUCUCUCUCUCUCUCUCUCACUCUCUCUCUCCCUUUUCAUCUAUUCAAAUGCUGGUGAUCUCUGUAAACAAACUCUUCCGCAAUAUUAUUCUAAAUGUCAUGCUUGAAGGUUUUAGGAAAUGCACUAACCGAACCCUAACGCUGCCUGCAUCAUCAUGGCGCUCCUCUCUUCCUCUCCUCCAACACGAAUAUUUACAGCGGAGCAAGAAGAGACGAGAAAUAAAAUCGCUUUGCAACAUCCUCGAGCUCUGAGGAUCCGGGCUACACCGCCUCUUGUCACGGUGUUACAUGAAAUAAUGUCCACCGCAACGAAGGCAAAUUGUUUCGAGCAAUCACUGACAGGGAUUUUUGGUUUUUGCCUCGCGCUGUUGGUUCUUGUUAUUUAAGAUCUGUGUGACAUGGUUAUGUGGUUAAGAAGCUCGUUUCGCCAACAAGUGGUUUCAGGUUCUGUCCUGCUGCGCGGCACUUUGGGCAAGUAUCUUCUGUUAUAGCCCUGGGCCGGGUGAGUGAAUUUGUUUGACAGAAGCUGUGUGGAAGUCCGUCACGCACACGCGCGCGUGUGUAUGCGUAUGUAUAUGUGUGCGUAUGAUAUAUGUGUGUGUAUGUAUGUGUGCGUGUGCGCGCGUGUCUUUGGGUUAAACUUUACCCGACAGUCCCGCUUGACAUCUAGUUGAGGCUUAUUUACGUCCUCGUAACUUAGCAGUUCGGCAGAAGUUUCCGGUAGAAUAAACACUAGAUUUAACACAUUAGUUCUAGGGUCGAUUUGUCCGACUAAACAUUUCAUAGCGCUCUAGUAUGGCCGCAGUCCAAUGACUGAAACUAGUAAAACGUAACAGACGCAGUAUGUUCGACUGACGACAUUUAUCACGUGACACUAAGUACUGUGUACUCCAUACGAAGUUCUCUUCUGUCGAUAUUAUUGACUCCGUUAUGACAGAAUCGUUAGCAAGCUGGGCGAAAUGCUUAGCGGUGUUUCGUCUGUCUUUACAUUCUGAGUUCAAAUUCCGCCGAGGUCGACUUUGCCUUUCAUCCUUUCGGGUUCGAUAAAUUAAGUUCCAGUACCAAUCAAGUAUUGGAGUCAAUGUAAUCGACUAUCCCUUUCCCCCAAAUUUCAGGCCUUGUGUGCCUAUAGUAGAAAGUAUUAUUGACUCCGUUAUUCCUCAAAUUCUUCCUGAAAUGAGCACUUUGUCUUCCUAAAACGUGUAUCCACACCAUACGGUUUCCGUACAAUCUGCUCACUAUACUUUUUAUAACUGUUAAAUCUCUUCUUUCUUAUUCAAUUUCUAGUUAUCAUUGUUCUCUCAAGACAUUGUCGAUGUAACACAUUCUUGAACAAAAUUGACAAAGUCAUCGUUCAAUUCUUGUAUGUCUUCCCCAAAGACUAUCAAAAUCAUUUUGUAAAUCUGGUAACUGACUUGUGCACAAUAUCAGUUUUUUUUUAUUGUAAUGUCAGUCCCUCUAAAGAGCUUACAACAUGCUUGGCAUUACAGGGCCCCGUCGGCCGAAGGCCGCCAGGUUAUCUGUGCUGGAAGCAGGGGCGGGGGUCUCAAAGUGGCUGUGCAUCAGGAGAUGUGAUCCCUGGAAGGAGCAGUGCUACCAGGUGUUGUGCUAACUGGAUACAAGAUAGCGUUUAAUGAACCCCAGCGGGUUGCCUGGGUGAUAGUGUCUGAUGGUGAAAGACCUGAAACACUUGAUAAAUCCAUGAAACAUCCCCGAUGGUGUGUCCAAUCAGGUGUGGAAUGUUGGUUGUAAAUGUUUUCAGUGAUACGGAGGACAACGUCAAUUCAAUAAAAUAUUAAUUAUUGGGUUUUCAAUGAAAGCAUAUUUGUGCUUCAAGAUGAGUUUACAAUGGAAGACUGUUUGUAUUUGAAGAUAAUUCAUCACGGGGUUUUGGUUCCAAAGACAUCGUGUUAAAUGAAUCAGUGAUAAAUGAAUAACAGAACAUAUUGGAAAAUAGGGUUCAUUCGAUACCCCAUGUGGUCCCCCGAACUUACCCUAAUAACACUUCCAAAGAAUUUUUAAACACAUAAUGAUAUCGUUUAAUGGUCGGAAUGAUAUUAGUAAAAUUUAAAAGCAUAUGAUUAGUAAAUAAUAUUUUUUAAAAACUGCAAAAUAUCGUAACGAGCAGAGUCUGUGACUGAUUGUCGACCCGUGAUCAAUCACAGAUUAAUCCGUGAUAAGCAUAACACAGUUCACAGUGGAGCGUACCGUGUUAAUCGAGAUCAGUGGUGAGUGGAUCAGUGGUAAACAAGGACAGAUAUGUGUAAUUAGGCUUAUUAUUGACAGUAUGUCACCGUUAGUAUUAAAGGAGAAUUGUAUUUACCUUUUAUGUAAUUGAAUAUAGCUACAGCUAAUCCAGAAAUCCCCUUUGAUAAGUAGUGGGGGUCGAUCUGUUUGAGUAACUCUCUUCAAAGCUGUGCCUCAGCAUGGCCGCAGUCUAAUGACUAAGAUCUGGUUUAGAUUUGUAAUCAUUUGGCUGUUACCCUUCAUACAGAGUGUUUUCCAUAUGGCUGCCCAAGGAAAGCAGUUCAUAAGUGUGUCUAUAUAUAAACUUCGACUUUCGCCCUAUCACUCUGACAUCGGACAGCAAAAAAGAAUUCCUGGCACGCACGUUGAAUGUUGGAGCUAUACUUGGGAAUAUGUGAAUCAUUGAUUCCAAAUAUAUCUUCAGACAGUUUUACGAUAUUCCUUCUAAUUUUGGAAACACGGUGUAUUUCUUUAUUCGCUCUUAUGUUCACGCGUGCACUCAAAUUAUGAACCGCAGUUGCACCUUCAAUUUUAAUUUUGGUAACUUUUCAAUCGAUGAUAUUCUCAGACCAAUCCAUGGGGGUUCUUGAAGUGAUAAUUUCGAAGAAGGCAAUUUAUUACAUUAAUUCCCAAUUACCAAAUUCUCAAAGCAGGAAUACAACAAACUCGGUGUUUAUAUAUGAGGUUGUCAGAUAAAUUUGUUCGUUUUUCCACUUAUUUUAAGGCAAGACUAACCACUCAGACGUAGGAAAACACCCCUAAAUUGAAGAUGUUCUCACUCAGCUGGAAUAAAACCCAGGCAAACAAAAUAUGGCAUACACCAUGAACGAUGUUAGUUCUAUCAAAAAGCAUAAUAUUCAAAUUUCCACAUUAUCUUUUCACGACCUCAUUAUAAAUUUAAAAUGACUGAUAAGGUAAACACACCCUUAUUUUAGGUCAAAUUUCUACCAAAUUGUCAAAGAUAAUAUGCUCUAAUUUGGAAUACCAACAGACUGGGGUACAGACGAGAUGCUGAAUCAAAGACAUUGAUGAAGUUGUGGGGUCGCUCAUAGCCAUAUGCAGCCGUUCGAGCGUUUUUGACCCCUGGGUGGUAGCAUUCAAGUGUCUUCGGAAGAUGAACAAAUUAAGUGUAUCUAAUCACACUAAAACAGCACCUAAGAAAGUACCAAAGUAAUACACGGGCAAACUUUAUUGGGACCUAAAGAUUGCUGAUCAUAGUCAGAAAUGCCAUUUUAGGGAAAACAAAAACCCAUAAUGUGUGUGUGUGUGUGUGUGUGUGUGUGUGUGUGUGUGUGUGUGUGUGUGUGUGUGUGUGUGUGUGUGUGUGUGUGUGUGUGUGUGUGUGUGCGUGCGUGCGUUUUGGGCAUGUCUUGAAUACUUCACCGUCAUCACUUGACAACCGGUGUCGCUUUAUUUACGGUUCGGCUUUAAAAGAAACAACAGAAUAAAUACCAGGAUUAAAAAUAAGUACUGGGUUCGACUUCAAGGCUGUACUCCAGUAUGGCCUCAGUCUCACGACUGAAACAAGUAAAAGAAUAAAAGAAUAAAUGACUAGAUACAUUAUUUACAUUUGACGGGUAUUUAUCCUCAUCUUGUAUGUUGUUAACACAACGCUUCGGCUGAUAUACCCUGCAGCCUUUUUCUUCGUCAGAGCUUUCUAGAUGUCGGCCGCAGGGUAUAUCAGCCGAAGCGUUGUGUUAACAACAUACAAGAUGAGGAUAAAUACCCGUCAAAUGUAAAUAUUGUAAGUAAUGUACAUAAUCCCUCAUCUCUUAAAUAUAGAACUGAAAAGACUAGAAUUUCAAACCAAGUUGAACUGUUGACACUCAUCAAGAAUUUGAAUCUCAGAAAACAGUCUUCGGAAUCACUGAGAUCCAACUUGAAUGAAACAAAAAAAUGUUGAUUUCAUUUUGGGACCAAGAUUACGUUUCAGCAAAUAAGGGGGGAGAUUUGCCGCCCUACACCUCUAAGAAGAGCAAUUUAGCAUUCUGCGAUAAUACUUUCUAACUUUGUCACUGAGCCAGCAAUUUUAGAGGACGGUGACAGUAGAAGACAUUUUCCCAAGACGUGCACUGCUUCUGCUAGCAGAAACAACCGGAAGUUAAUGAAGGUGGUUACGUAAUUCCUAUUUUCUUGCUUUCCUAUUAAUUCUACACACACAUACAUAGCAGUGCACCCAUUAUUGUUGCAUGCAUUCAAUUAUACCUUAAACUAAUUAUAGCAAUAAUUAUGAGUGACAGAGACAGUAUUAAUCCCAGAGUCCACAAAGGUACAAAUAGCAAACACGAUGCGCGCCAAAGGUAAUUUUGGUCUCCAACUUAACUUGGUGGCUGUGUUAGAAUACAGACUACUACGUUAUUUACCCGGAGAGAACCCCUUGCAUAAGGACUCGUGUGGUGUAAAAGCGCUCGUCAUUAUAUCGUUGACGGACGAGAAUCGUCUGCUACAGCCACCGGGACUGCCAGAUCACGUGAUGUCGCUAUGGGUUCCUCAGUGACAGAUGGUCUGCACACGUUAGAUUGGGAGUCAAGAUUACCUUUUAAUUAUAACAAUAAUUACAGAAUAUUUUAACAUAUCUCCAUCUUAGAAAUCGACCUUUCUUCACAUCUGACUUUCAUAUACGUCUGAAAAUAUUUUCAGACCGAACGAAAUACGAAAGCUUUGACAAUACUGCUUCUCUCUAUAAACAAUAUUUUCGAUUAAUCCUUCAUUAGUAGUUGAUAAAUGGAUGUUACACACCCGCAGCCUAUUGUCGAAACAUCUCCAUAUCGUGACGGAAGUCGAGCAGCUUUUGAUUCAAAGCGACGCUUCUAAGUUACUGUUUGACGUUUCUCAAUAGAUAUGGCGCAACAAAUCUUAACAAGAAAUAGUUGUCGUUUGAAAGGCAAAGGGAAAUUCACUGGAGACUUUCUACCAAAAUGAUGCUGCUGCUAUUCUUGUACGGCUCCUGCAAUGGCGGAUGUUGUUCGCGUAUCGUGUUUAUCAUUCGUAGCUUUGUGGUCGCUGGCAGCAACAUCCUGCCUGGCAGUACUUGACUUCCAAGGAUUUCUGUACUUCUCUCCAGUCUUACCAUUGAAUGGAGGAGAAGGGGGAGAAAAAAAAAGAAAGAGAGAACAAACCCGUAAAAUUUACAAACGUAUUUCUCAGGCAAAACAUACAUAAACACACACAGAUGCACAUACAUACAUACAUACAUACAUACAUACAUACAUACAUACAUACAUACAUGCAUACAUACAUACACAUAUACAUACAUACAUACAUACAUACAUACAUACAUACAUACAUACAUACAUACAUACAUACAUACAUACAUACAUACAUAUGCAAAAGUACCCUACUGAUGUUGUUGAAAUUCCAAUGAAGGCUCCUUGGAUCUGGGUUAGAAACCGGCUCUUUCUCCAUUGGCAAGAAAUCUUGAAAUAAGACUGAAUAAUGAUAUUCAUACAUGCAUGCAUACAAACAUAUACAUAGUUACAUAUUUUUACACAUACAUACACAUAUACAUAUAAACUUUUCCAUAAGCCUAAUGAGACACUUACACAUAAACAGUCUUGUCACCCUCCUGUAGUAUUUAAAAACCUGAUCGCUAGCAAUAGUAACAGAGUAUCUAACCUCUCUUCUUCCAAAGAAAUUUUCGACAAAGCUGCCCCUUAUUAUAACAAGGCCCUAGCCAAUAGUGGCUUCAAAGAUAAAUUAAUAUAUAAUCCUUCUAUUAAUCAAAAUAUUAAUAAUAGAUCUAGUGGUACCAAAGAUAAAGAAGCACCUAACCACUUCAAUAUUGAUCAGGAUAAUAAGAAACCAAAAAAUAGGCCAAGAAAAACUAUUUGGUUCAUCCCCCCCCUUCUCCUUUAAUAUAAAAACUAACAUUGGUAAAAGAUCCCUGUCACUCCUAGACGAACACUUUCCACCAACUCACAGAUACAGGAAAAUAUUUAAUAUGCAUUUUGUGAAAUUAUCAUGUAGCUGCUGCCCCCAAUAUGAAGAGUAUCAUUACACGUGGUCAACACCAAAGAGCCUGAAUCCAGCUGCAACUGUCGUGACUCAUGAUUCUGUCCACUUGACCAGCGAUGUAAGAUUAAAUUUAUCGUAUAUGAGGCAGAAGUUACUGCAACCCUACAUAAUAAUAGUGCAACUGAUAAGAAGACCUAUCCUGGAUUAUGUGUGAAGGAGGAUUUAAAAAAUCGCUCUGCCAAUCACAUAGCCUCCUUCCGACAUAAGGACAAAAAAUAAAGCUGCUAAGUUGGUUAGCUACAUGUGGACUUUGGAAGAUAACAAAACACUACAUGUGAUUAAAUGGAAAAUAAUUGAGAAAUCCAUUCCUUAUGUAAAUGGAUCGAAUAAACGUAGACUUUGCUUGGCUGAAAGAACUCAGAUCUAAGGUCCUUAACUCUCUAUUGAACUCCAGGUCAGAAAUAUUCAGAAAUAUUUUGAAGAACUGGAAAAUUCUGCCUAUUUCCUGACUGAUAUGAUAUCUUUCCAGCUUUAUCAUUUAACGUCUCAGGAUGAUAGCUCUUUUACCUUUUUAUUUUUUAUAUUUUAGUUUCUCUUUUUUGUUUACCGUUUUCCGUUUUUCGUUUUCCGUUCUUUACUGUCUGCAUUUUCUAUAUGCUGCCUUCUCAGCUUCAUCGCGUUUCUUCUAUACAUUCGAUUUCUUAGUUCGUUAUGAUAUGUGUGUUGCGCCCGAAGAAUAUGUUUGAAUUCACUCAAUAUAUGAAACUAUAAGUAGCGCUUUAAUACAUGUUUCAUGACCCUUAAAUAAAUAAUGGAUCUUUUCACUUUGACCGACAGAUUUAAAAAAUAAUUUCUUUGAAACUAAACACUUUUAAACUUCGUAUACUGGUAGAAUGUGUUACAUAAAACAUCUUUUGCUCUUGACUUUCUUGAGAAAAUUCUGUAGUUUGUAAGCUAUUUGUUGUUAAAUUUCUUGCAUUUCGGCAAUUUCAACCAAUCAAUGACGUCUAUUGAGGUGAAUACAAUUACUGCUGUUGUUUGUCAACAAGUUCAACAAGAACUUCCAGGGGUGUAUAUUUCGUUUACGAAACAGAUUGAAAUGCAAUAAAUUAUUUUUUAAAUCUGCCGGUCAAAGUGAAAAGAUCCAAAAUAAUAUUUAUCUCUCACCGGAUGGAGUACUUUUUUUGUUGAAUUUUCUAUCACGGAUCAGUACAUUGUAUGUGUGUGUACGUGUGUGUGUAUACAUAUAUAUACAGGGUGAUUCAAAAGUCACCAUACAUAGGAAAAUAUUCAUCUUUUUUAUAAGAAACAGUUAAAUAUAAAAACUGUUUCUUAUAAAAAAAUUAAUUGUUCUUAUGUAUGGCGACUUUUGAAUCACCCUAUACAUAUAUAUAUAUCUAUAUAUAAAACUGAUAUAUAUAUAUAUAUAUAUAUAUAUAUAUAUAUAUAUAUAUAAUAGAUAGAUAGAUAGAUAGAUAGAUAGAUAGAUAGAUAGAUAGAUAGAUAGAUAGAUAGAUAUGAUAGAUAGAUAGAUAGAUAGAUAGAUAGAUAGAUAGAUAGAUAGAUAGAUAGAUAGAUAGAUAGAUAGAUAGAUAGAUAGAUAGAUAGAUAGAUAGAUAGAUAUUGAUAGAUAGAUAGAUAAGUUUCUUUAUUGGCCACACAGGGCUGCACACAGAUGGGACAAAUUACAAGGUAGAGCUUUCCUUUUGGGGGAUGAAAAAAAAAAACAAAAAGAAAAAAAUGGCGUAUGUUUUCGAUCAAAAGGGAUCGUAAAAGGGAAAAAAGAAAUAAAAAGGAAAAGAAACAAAAGAAAAGAAAAAUGAAAAAAAGAAGAAAAAGGGGAAAAAAGGGGAAGAGGAAAAUAACGAUCAAUAGGGAUCGUGUAUCGCAAUGUCAUGAUGUACGAUGUAAAGGGGGAAACAGAUAAGGUUUAUCCGUGGGAAGAAAAGCCUACGAAAAAGACCACGAUAACCUCGGUCAAUAUUGUUAUGUUUACCACAUUUGUUUGCAAGUGGGUAACCCUCUGUUUUCAAUUUCUGGGUUCAUAGGAUUAUGCUCAAGGUGGCUUCGUCAUUCAUACGUGCCAUCCUUGCUGCAUUCACCCAUCUUUUUUAAAACAUUCGCUAGACAAAACUUGCCUCUCUACUCUCACUUUCCUUUUCAAGUGGUACUUGAAGAAGUUGAUGAGAGAUUGACCAGAGAGGAAAGUGUUUGUCUCUAAUCCUUUCAGGCGCGUCCACCAGAUACAUUCCUUCGCCAUAGCCACAAGGAUGAUGAAAAUAGCUCUUCCUUCCCGUUUGAAGGAAGGAGGCGUGACAAUAUUGACGAUAGACUCAGCUGAUAAACCGACUCGUCCCACACGUGACAGCAGUUGUUCGACAUAAGCCCACAGGUCGGCCCCGUGUUUCUCGAGCCGUGUCUGUAGAGCUUAUCCCGAACGGGUAGCGCUUCUCGGUAGCACUGCCAGGCCAGGGAUCUCUAGAAGUUGUCCAUGGGCCCUGGUUCGAAAGUCGUCCGAACAGGCGGGUCAGGUAUUCCUCGUCGACGUCCAGGUUCGCCCCGAGCUCGUCGUCGUAUCUCCCUCCACUAAUCCCCUAUAGAAUGCUUUGGUUGUGAUGGAGUCACUCAAGGUCGACCCAGGACGGCAGAGUUGCUUGAAAGCAACGCGACACGCGCGGUGUUCGCCCUUCUUCGGCCUCUUUUGAUCCACGACUGCAGUUCGGUCUGGAGAUGAGCUGAACAAACGGCGACCACACCUGUUCACCGUCGUCUACGAAGAGCCUGAGAUGUCGCAGUCUCAGCACGUGUCUCCGCAUCAUCAACCACGGCAUGCCCAGUCCUCCUUUUAACGGGUGUUGACAGCAAAUGGAUCGCCUGAUCAUCGGGACGCAUCCUUUCCACAAGAAGCGAAAGAGAAUGCGCUGUAGUUUGGUGAUGGUAGGGUCGGGACAAGGCACGACGGUCAGGUGGUAGUAGAUGACGGACGCGAUGUACGUGUUCGCCACCUCCGCCCGACCUUUUAGGGACAGUUUCCUCUCGGCCCAUUGCCGGGCGAGAGUGACCACCCUACUCGUUAUAUCGUUCCAGUUCUUCUUCACUUGGAGGUCCGGACCGAACCAGACCCCGAGCAACUCGACCGGACCGUCGGUCCAGCGUCCCACGACGGAGGCGCUGGGGGACGGCAUGGGCUUGCUUCUCCAGGUGCCUAGUCGCAAGCCCACUGACUUUUCCCGGUUGAUUUUCGCUCCUGUCACCGCUUCGUAGUUUUUCAGUGUCUCGCCGACCUGCUCGAUGUGCUCGUGGCUAGACACUAUGACGGUGACGUCGUCCGCGUAUGCAGACACGCUCGUCCCGCAUCCCAGUUUUCGCGGGAUGCCCCUCAGAGUUGCCAGCUUCCGCAAUAAUGGCUCAAGAGUCAAUACGUAUAGAAGCGACGAGAGGGGGCAUCCCUGACGGACCGAGCGUGCGAUGUCGAAAGGUCUCGAUAGAUGUCCAUUUACGCGAAUUACCGAACGGAUGCCUUUGUACAAAGCAGCUAUCCAGCCGCGGAAGACGGGGCCGAAGCCAGCCGCUCUGAGAACAGCCUCCAAGUAUCGAUGGUCUACCCUAUCGAAAGCUUUCGAUUGAUCCAAAUUGAUCAGCGCCCCACCCAUGCCAGGUUCGUUAACGACCCUGUCUAUGAUGUAGCGCAUCAGGUGGAGGUUGUCAUGGAUGAGAUAGAUAGAUAGAUAGAUAGAUAGAUAGAUAGAUAGAUAGAUAGAUAGAUAGAUAGAUAGAUAGAUAGAUAGAUAGAUAGAUAGACAGAGUUGCUACAACAAUACAAGUCCAUAUAUUUGGUUUUGUCUUUUUGUUACCACCAUUGGUAAAUGAAUGCUUUAAAAGCCGUCAUUCACAAGAGUUGCUUCAAUGUUUCUUUAAAAAAAAAACACUUUCCUUCACUCCAACCUUUGAAUGGAUAUCAUUUCUGUCUCAUGUUUUGUCAUCUCAGAGAAACCCCAUCUGUGGUGAACCAAUUUUUUAAUUACUAGUCUUAACGUUCUCUUUUGUAUCGUUUUCUUGUUAGCUUUUACAAAAUCGCUUUGUUUACGUUUUGAAAAUAUCUCGCCUGGAACAUCGCUAUGACAAUAACGGCCGACAGGCGAAGUUAGUUUGAAUCUAGUCUUUUCGCCAACCUAACCUGCUAAGUACGCGUCAAAUCCGUACUACAGCUUAUGUCCAAUGCAAUGAUCGAACGGUUUUUAUCAAUGGCUUUAAGCAGCUUUACUAGCACAUUCCGAUUCCGAUGGAUCAGUGGAUUUCAACUGGGGUCCAUAUGGCACCUGAGAGUGCAUCUAAGAUUUUUGUGGGGUCCACGCCACAAAAAAAUAAAUGGGAGAUCAUACAGUUCUAUAUUUAAGAGAUGAGGAAUUAUGUACCUUAUUUAUAUUAUUUACAUUUGACAGAUAUUUGUCCUCAUCUUGUUUGCUGUUAACACAAUGUUUCGGUUGAUAUAUACCCUCCAGCCUUCAUCGGGUGUCUUGGGGGAAAUUUCAAACCUGGGUUCUCAUUCCUAAGGUAUUUUUCGAUGUUGUUAUUAUUAUUAUUACUGUUAAGGGCCCCUGAAAUAAUGUUGCUUUAGAUGUAUACAUUUGUAUGUAUUGCAAGAAACAGACCGGUUUCUUUAGCAUUUUACAGAGUUCAACCAACACAAGGGAAUAUGUGGUUAACAAAAUAGGAAUUUUGAAAGAAGUAUCUCUAAAACUAGUUUUCAAACAUUGAAUGGCUAUGGCGGGGUCCACCAGAAUAAAAUAGUAAUGAAAGGGGUCCAUAGAUAAAAAAUGGUUGAGAACCUUUAGAAAAGAUGGUUAGAAGCUCUGCCGAUUCUGUUACUGGGUUUGCGUACCACUGUUAAAGAAGACCGAGGUUAUUGCCCGGCAGGACUGUUGUAUGGUUCGCCACUUGGACUGUCUGGUCAAAUGAUAUUGACUACGGCUUCUCAACUUAAUCCUACCAACUAUAAUUACAGGGUGAAGCUACCCGCAUUAAUAACGAGACCUCAGUCGGUUAACUUUCGUUCAAGCCAAUAUCAAUAUCUGGAGUCGUGUAUUUGUACACAGACAUUUUGUUUCGUCCCGUCCCGCGUGUUAAAAAUUAAACUAUAAUGUAUGGUUUUGAACAUUCAGACGAGAUAGGAAACUGGCGGUGUUUAUCGACUUAAGCAAGCUUUCGCCGAGUCUCUUCUCCUCCCACCACACUUCUCUCCCUCGUCUGACACACCCAAACAAUGCACGCGUAGACAACGCUUUAUCCAACAACAGGGUGACCCAAAGAGGAAAGAGAGUACACUGAGUCCGUUGGAUGGCUAGGUACACUUGCACGUAUUUUCAUUAACACACACACACACACACACACACAGGUUUUCUUUUAUAGUUUCCAAUACAAAAAAUGAACUGAAGAACUUUGCAUUUUCUAUGAACUUUUCAUUGUUGUAUGGGCAUUUUUUCAAAACAAUUUUUCAGAUUGAUAGGUAGACAGAUACAUAAAUACAUCGACAGGUGUGUAGACAGAUUGCUCCUUCAACGCUGCCUUUGUGGAUUUUCACAUUUUCUCAAGAAUCAAAUGUUUCAGAAAAAUAUACAAUUUCUUCAUACAGUUUUCAAAAUAACCGUGGAAUUUCCACGAAUACUGCGAGUUAUUAUCCUUUUCUACUCAAGGUAUAAGGCCCAAAAUUUUGGGGGAGGGGGAUAGUCGAUUAGAUCGACUCCUGUACGCAAAUGGUACUUAAUUUAUCGACCUCAAAAGGAUGAAAGGUAAAGUCAACCAAGGUGGAAUUUGAACUCAGAACGUAAAGACAGACGAAAUACCGGUAAGCAUAUCGCCCGAUGUGUUAACGUGUCUGCCAACUCGCCGCCUUGUUAGUUAUUAUUAUUAAUUUUAUGUUCGAGUCAGAGGUGAAAAAGCAGUGCGAAGAUCCUGUUAAGGGCCCCCAAAAUUGGUGGAAGAAAGCAAGAAAGGGAGUUAUCUUUACACAGGAAUCUAGAUAAAAUACUUAGUGUAAGGAAUUUUGCUAAAGACUUUAAAUAUUCUGUUAGUGAUGUUAAACUGAGCGAAAGAUAAAUGUCGGAUAUUUAUAUGAAUGGAAAAAAAAGAUGUCAAAACCGUUUAAAGACAACGUAGAGAAAUGAUUUACACAUGUCAAAAUUUAGCAAACUAAAACGAUUUUAUAUCUCAUAAAUUUAUAAAUAUAGAAAUAUUUUAAAAUAUAUGUAAUAAUCAUAAUGGGAAUAGUCUAUUCUCGUUGAAAAUUGAAAAACAGGAUAGCGAAGAAAAAGUUAAAAACGAAGAGAAUUUCGCAUAAUCUUGAUGAAUGGAAGUGAAACGUGUCUACAGAAUGUACAAAAAAAAUGAUAAAACAUUUCACCAUAAACAAAGUAUGAAAAUAUAGAUUUAAAUAUAUAUGUGCGUACGUGUACAUGCACAAACACAUGUGUGUGUGAGUGAGUGUGUGUAUGCGUGUGUUUGUGUCUGUAAGUGAGUGUGUAUAAAUAGAAUUAUAGCAUAUUUUGCAGCAUAAUUCUGUUGGCGCCUCUGUUCACUCGGAGCAUUUCAGUUGUGUACACGAGAGAAGCUUCGGUUUUUAGUUUCGUUUGAGCAAAUUUUUAAAAUUUAAGAAACCUGACAUUUGAGAAUUUGAUAAUGGCCCAGGGUUUAAUAACACUCGCAGAUUAAAUUUCAACCAGUGAAUAGUGAAAAAUGGGACUUUUACAUCUAAAAUAGAGACAGUAUCAUUUGAAUGGUUCUCAUUGUUUAACAGGCAAUUUUCUAUCGACCCUGAGAGAAUUCAAACACUAUCAGCUAUGGCAGGAUUUGAAAUCAAAACCAACAAGGCUAAAUUAGAUAACGUUAAGCGGUGUAUUCAUUAGUCUCGGUAUUUGUGUUCCACAAUGUAUUAUUAUUAUUAUAAUAAUUUUUUUUAAAAAUAUGGUCCGUUGUCUUCUGCUGAACCGGGGUCAUCCCUUGACCCUAGGGUCACAGCAGGUCUUCAUCUCAUGGAAAGUACACGGCGUAAAAUGUAUGCGGGACCUACCCACACUAUUUUUUGAAGUUCUCCCACGUUAACACUGCAAGGGAGUUUGUUGAGCUGCUUAUCAAGGCCCUUUUUAAUUAACCCUAACGCUCCAAUCACCACUGGUGUUGUGCUGCUUUUCAUUCCCCACAACUUGGUCACUUCUAUUUCUAGGUCUUUGCACUUAACUUCUCAACUUCUUUAAUGGACACAUUUCUCUCUGAUGGUACUGUCACAUCUAUCAUUAAGCAUUUCUUAUUCUUCCCAUCUUUGAUGAUUAUGUCCGGCCUGUUUGCCUUGAUUUUUAUAUCGGUGUUGUUGUUAUUAUUAUUGUUGUUGUUGUUGUUGUUGUUGUUGUUGUUGUUGUUGUUGUUGUUGUUGUUGUUGUUGUUUUUGUUGUUGUUGUUAUGGAAGGCGGUGAGCUGGCAGAAACGUUAGCACCGGGCGAAAUGGCUAGCGGUAUUUCGCCUGCCGCUACGUUGUGAGUUCAAAUUCCGCUGAGGUCGACUUUGCCUUUCAUCCUUUCGGGGUCGAUAAAUUAAGUACCAGUUGCGUAUUGGGGUCGAUAUAAUCGACUUAAUCCAUUUGUCUGUCCUUGUUUGUCCUCUCUGUGUUUAGCCCCUUGUGGGUAGUAAAGAAAUAGGUAUUUCGUCUGCCGCUACGUUCUGAAUUCAAAUUCCGCCGAGGUCGACAUUGCCUUUCAUCCUUUCGGGGUCGAUAAAUUAAGUACCAGUCGCGUACUGAGGUCGAUCUAAUCGACUAGCCCCUCCACCACAUUUAAGGUCUUGUGCUUAUAGUAGAAAGGAUUACUAUUAUUAUUAUUAUUAUUAUUAUUAUUAUUAUUAUUAUUAUUAUUAUUAUUAUUAUUAUUAUUAUUAUGAGACGUGUCUAAAAUUAUUAAAAGAUAGUUUGAGAAAAUAGACAAUGAUUUAGGCUUAUUUUGAUCGGCAAUUUUGGGUCACGCAAUUUUAAUCCCUCAAUGCAACAAAAGUGAUCCUUUAAUUUUCUUUUCUUUUACUUGUACGAUGUCGUAUGCAAAAAUAAUGUAAAAAGACGGCAGAGACACAUUUAAGGCAUUUAGCUUACCUAUCGACUCUUCUUUUGGUUCAUCAUAUUUGGUAUUUGUAGAUGACACGCAAAGACUGUAUUCGUGGUCUUUCUGUAAAUUUCCUUAUGUAACAAUUGCGUUAGUUAAGCAUACAAAAUGAAAAGGUUUUAGUGACAUUUCAUUGCAGAUCUGAUCAAAAUUUCCAAUAAGGAAUUCCAUCCAAAAUAAUUGCAAAAACGCUUGUAGAAUUUGCAAAGAACAAGGCAACAAAAUAUAAAUGGAUGUCUUUUACAGACAAAGUACAUUUCAACUUUGUUAUGCAGACACGUACCGAGAAACACACGUACAAAAACAUAUAAAGACACAGAAUUAUGCGCCCAUACGAGUAUAUAGAGAUGUCGGAAUAUUCCUUAGGGUAAAACGUUUUCCAAAAAGAAAUUUGUAGAGUGCUCAAUAUACUGACAGCAUCAAAUGGAACUGGAAUAUAUAAUUUUGUCAUAUCGAUGUGAACAUUAAUUUUGUUAUUUGGCAUAUUGUACAUAGCAACAUAAAUGCCUGAAUCAUUUGUUGUGGGGUACAGUGCGGGCGUUCUGUUGAGUGGAGAAGGGCUCUGUAUGUGUUUUGACAAUUGCCGAAAAGAAAGUGCUGAGGAAUAUGUAAUGUUUGAAUGAGCCUGUUAAAUGUCAAAAUCCAUACCAUGUAAUCUGUUGCUCAAUCAUGCUUUGAUAGCCGUCUGUAUGCAUCUCAUUUAGCUAUCAAUCUAUCACAAUACUCUGUGUGUGUGUAUGUUUGUGUAUGUAUCUGUGUGUGCGUGCGCUCACCUACGAUUGUCAGUUCAUAUAUAUCUAUUAGGUCAUCCCAUAAAUAAUGCGGUUUUUUCAAUUGCAUGAACUAAAAGUCGGUGGGGUACGGGAUAAACUACCUGCAUCAACUUACUAUAAAAGCAGGUAGUAAUUUUAACGUGUCCUUAUUCUUAGUGCAAGUUUUGAAGAGUGCAGUUCGAUUUUAACAGUUAUCUUUUCAAAGCUAUAAUGGAAGUAACAAAGGAACAUAUUCGGCAUAUUUUGCUUUAUGAGUUCAAGAAAGGCAACAACGUGACGGAAAGUGCGAGGAAUAUUAAUGCAGUAUAUUGGGAUCGGACAAUAAGCGUAGGCCAGUGUCAACGGUGGGUCUAGAAAUUCCGAGCGGGAAACUACAGCCUAGAAGACGAGUCUCGUCCUGGAAGAUCUGUAGAGCUCGACGGGGACAUCCUGCAAAACCUGGCGGAACAAAAUCUCAUCGUAAUUGUUGAGGAACUAGCAGAGAAGCUUGGAUCUGGUCAUUCAACCAUUCAUCGACACCUGCGUGCCAUCGGAAAAGUCAGCAAAUUGGGUCAAUGCGUUCCUCUCAAACUUUCCGAGUCUAAUCUCACGCAGAGAGUGAAUGUGUUCUCUUCUUUGCCGUCAGGUCUCACGAAUGAACCUGAAUAGUUCUAGUAACGAGAAAUGGCUUCUCUAUAAAAAUGUCAAGCGCUGGAGACAGUGCGUAGGGAAAGAAGAAACAUCGGCACCCCAGGCUAAAGAUCCCCACCCAUGUAAGGUGUUGUUAUCUGUUUGGUGGGAUAUGAAAGGUUUAGUCCACUUUGAACUUUUAAGCCCAAACCAAAUGAUAACAAAGGAGAUCUACUUUGAGCAGCUUGAGCGGCUUAAGACAGCGCUGGAAGAAAAACAACCAUGUUUGGUUUGAAGACGAAAGGUGUUCUUCCAUUAGGAUAAUGCUCGGCCACAUACAGCGAGGAUGACAUUCCAAGGGCUGGACCAAUUUGAAUGGGAAACGAUACCCCACCCACCAUAUUCACCAGGCAUUGCCUCAUCUGAUUAUCAUUUAUUCUGCAGUCUUCAAAAUCAUUUGGACGAAAAAAAUAUGAAUUCCGUAGACGAGGUCAGAACAGUACUGGAGGAGUAUUUUUAAUCACGGAUGAGUGAAUUUUGGAAAAGGAGCCUUGUAAGUCUACCGGAUAGAUGGAAGAGCAUUGUAGAAAAUAAAGGAGAGUAUAUUUGAGAUUUAAAAAGAAAUCUGGAAAACUAAAAGAAGUAUAAAAAACCGCAUUAUUUACGGGAUGACCCAAAACUUAUCAAUUCAAUUCGUGUAUCUCGUGCAAUAUGUUUGUGAUUACGUAUUAUCGAUGUGUGUGUGCGCACGCAUGUGUAUGUAUGUAUAUAUAUAUAUAUAUAUAUAUAUAUAUAUAUAUAUAUAUAUAUAUAUGCAUACAUAUGUAUGCAUACAUACAUACAUACAUACAUAUAUACAUACAUACAUACAUACAUACAUACAUACAUAUAUACAUACAUACGUAGACGUAUAUGUAAUUACAGAGAGGAAGAGGAGGGGAGAGAGUGGGUAGAGAGAGGAGGGGAGAGAGUGGGCAGAGAGAGAGGAGUGAGUGAGUGAGAGAGUAAAUUAUUAAGAAAACCUGAUUACGAUUGGUGAAAAACAUUUAACUGUGAAGAUGAAAUCAUUUGCGUCGAAUUUCUAAUUCUUCAACUUAUUACUCUGAGAAGCCUAUUUAAAAUGUUGAUGGCGGUGGCAGUGGUGGGCGAGGUUGUAACGUUGAUUGCUGCUGCUGUGGUUGUUGUUUUUUUAGCCUGUAUAAAUCCUGGUUGAGAAGACCUCAUGAAUAAAGCCCCCGUAAUAUCGAAGACCUCGUAAUAUCGAAGAGAUUGUUGUUGUUGCUGUUGUUUAUAGCCUUAGAUCAACCCUAAUCGAAGAGACCGAUAAACCAGUGAACUUGAGAUUAAAAGCAUUUCAAUGGAAUUUAAAACUACAUCGCAUGACAUUUGGUUUUCUUACUAGAACCAAUAGCGCGUGGGUUGAGGAAGAUUUUAUUGCUAUUUCUAGUAGGCCCGGCAACCACGUAGAGGAAUUUAUCAUUGGCUGGUCUGUAAUAUUGAUUCAGAGAAUACUGGUGACCGCCAUUAUCGCCUCUUUCACCUCCUCCUCCUACUCCUACUCCCACCGUUCUCUCCCCUUCCUCCCACUCCACCUCACUUUAUCGUCUCAUGAUAUGUCAAGCUGUUCCAGACACUCGCUUUGAUACAACUUUUCCAGCCUUUUUUCUUUCGUUCCGUAUGUAUCAAAUAUUCUCUUUCUCUCUCUCUCCCUCCCUCCCUCCCUCUCUCUCUCUCUCUCUUUAUCUGAUUCUUUCUCUCUCUCUCUCUCUCUCUCUCUCUCUCUCUCUCUCUCUCUCUCUCUCUCCCAUUUUUUCUUAUUCAUUCAUUUUCUUCAGUUUUCUUCGUCCUUUUUCUUUCUUCCUCCUACCUCUAUCGUUUUCUUCAGAUUUCAAUGUUUUUAUUCCCAUCCACAAACUUUCAGUCUUUCUUUUACCAUAUCUGUCUAUUUAUCUAUCUACACACAUGCAUAUGCAUACAUACAUACGUACAAACACACACACACAUAUAUAUAUAUGUAUGUAUGUACAUACAUACAUACAUACAUACAUACAUACAUACAUUGCAUAUAUAUAUAUAUAUAUAUAUAUAUAUAUAUAUAUAUAUAUAUAUAUGAAUGAAUGAGAAAAAGAAGAAAAUGGAGAAAUUGACACGCAGACAUCAGUUUAUUUUUAAAUAUUCAAAUCCAUAUAAUAAAAGUCCAGUCCUACAGCCGUUUCCACAUCCAAUUAGUUCAAUUACAGAGAUUAAAAUAAUUUGAAUUAAAUUAAAUUAAUUUAAUUAAAAUUUUCAUGAUGAAACUGGUUAAUUGAGUAUUUCAUCAUCAGGGAAGAAUUCUCCAAAAGAGAGUUACAUUUCAACAUGAUGGUUGACCUACGAGAGACCCAGAUGUGUGCGCUUUAGAAUGUGUGCGUUGUUGUUAGGUCAACUAAUACUUUGAAAUGUAGCACUCUUUUCGAAAAUUCAUCCGUGAUGAAAUACUCAAGUAACCAAUUUUAACAAGAACAUUUUAAUUAAUUUAAUUUAAUUUAAUUUCUGUAGUUGAACUAAUUGGAUGUGGAAACGGCUGUAGGACUGGAAUUUCAUUAUAUGGAUUUAGAUAUCUCUAAAUAAACCGAUGUCUGCAUGUCAAUUUCUCCAUUUUCUUCUUUUUCUCAUUCGAAAAUAUUUUAAAUACCUAUAUAUAUAUCAAUGUAAAACUAAUGUAUUUAGUUUUCACUGAACACUGGUAUAAACCAGAGAACUAGGAUGCUAGCAUCCCUUAAACGAUUAUUGGUCCUUAUACAAUUAUAUAUCUAUAUGUAUAUUUAUAUAUAUAUAUAUAUAUAUAGGAAAAAUAAACCCUGUUCCUCUAGAAGAGCAUUCUUUGGAAAACAACUGCAGGAUACCAAUGAAACGGCAAAGUGUCGGUCGCUACCAGUUCCUUGGAGAUACCAUCAAAGGAAGGAAAGAAAGAACAAAGGAAAUUUUAAAAGAAGUAACUUUAUUUUAUCUAACAAAACAUUAAUUCUUUGUUACGUCUAAAAAUUUGCUAACAUUCAGCAUCCUUUAUCUUAUACAGUUAUAUAAAAUUGGAAGUAAGCCUAUAAAGUCAAAAAGAUGUGUUGUUUUUAAUUUUGUAUGUUAUCGAAUGCUUGUAGUGGCCUGUCUUGAAGUAGUAUAGUUUUGAACCUUUGCAUAGAGCAUUUUCAAUUCAGUAAUCUUUAAAAUGUAUAAAUACACUUUUAUUCCACAUCUCUCUUGUGUUUACAAGGAUUUAGGCAGCGGAAAUACUGAAGUUUGCAUCUUGUGCCAUCUAGUGAUUAUAGUUUUAAAAGCCCAUGACUCUGAAACUACUUCAACUAGAAAACUGAAAUAUCAGACAUACUAUUUCUGCAUUGCAUUGAGUCAGUACACGAAGUUUGGUAAAAACUUGAGCAGGCGUUAUGAACCCCACUAGAAUUUUGCAGGAUUUGGGUGAAAAGUGGUGAUCGAUCUCUUAAAUUGGGGGUGACAUUUUUUCAAAAUAAAGCAAAAUAAAUUUUAGUUUCCUGACUUUUAUAGAAUUAUUAAUAGAAUUACAGUAUAGGGUUAUUAGGUUGUGAAAAAGUCAUAACCCUAAUAUAUAUAUGUAUGUAUGUAUGUAUGUAUGUAUGUAUGUAUGUAUGUAUGUAUGUAUGUAUGUAUGUAUAUAUAUAUAUAUAUAUAUAUUGAGUGCUACAGAACUCAGAAUAGUGACAGAGUGACGCCCCAGUUUCGAAUAAAUAAUUUAAAAACAAAAACGCUACGACACAUUUGAAAGUUAAAAAGUUGCAAGGUGCAUUGUGACCAGCGAUGUAUAACAAUAUCUGAUGGUCUGGUCGAUUAUGUGAUCAAGAGAUAAUAGCAAUUAGACAAAGGAUGAAGAAUAUAUUUCGUAAGUUUGUUUUUUUUCAUUUACGUACGUUUCAAAUGACUGGAAGAACUGUUUCUGCAUCAGACAAUCGUUAACGUGCAUAAUCGAUCAAUUAAAUAAUCAAUUAAUUCAGAGAUAUUUGUUCCGCUAAUUAAUUAUUUAAUUGAAUAACAAAUUGACUGAUUAAGCAUACUAACCAUUGUAUGACACGGAAACAGUUCCACAAGUCAUUUGAAACGUAUGUAAGUGAAUAAACUUAAUUCUAUAUUUUUGACCUAUAUACGGUUUAUACACACACACACUCACACAAAGACAUCAUUAUUACCCCCACCAACUGACUUAAAGUUGAUAAAGCAAUAUUUUUUUUAAAAUCAUACUCAUAAAUCGCACAAACCCCUGACAUAAAAGUAGUCAUAAUAGAAAUAAAUACUAUAAAACAACAAAAAUAAGCCAGUUCAAUUAAAUGAUUAUAAAAACAAAUUAAUAAAAAUACCCCUGUUGUAACUAAAGUGGAUGAAUGAACUAAAGUCAUAACAGCAAUAGGGGCUGCUAUUGCAGCAGGUAAUCAACUUCUAAAUGGAAUCGAGCCUUUUUACUUAUUCCAGCAAUAAACACAAAGAUAUAUAUAUAUAAAAAAACUUAUAGGGAUGUUUAUCCAAGGUACACUGAUUUAAUAUAUUAAAUUUUGAAGAGAUAAUUCUUCAAUGAAUAUAUCAUAUAGAAGUCGUAAGAUAUCAGACAUUUGUAUAGAUCUAGAAAACAGAGAUCUAAUGGAUACAAAUUAAUUAAUUAAUUAAUCGACAUAUUAACCAACAAUUGUUUCAUUUCUCAGAUAAGAUUAAAAAUACGAAAUACUUUUACAAUAUGUUUUUUAUAUUUUUAUAUGUUUUGCAAUUUUAAUCUUAUUUGAGAAAUGAAGCAAUUGCUGGUUGAUAUGUUGAUUAAUUAAUAAAUUAAUAAAUACAUUUGAAUCCAUUAGAUCUCUCUGUUUUCUAACUCAAUAAAUACACACACACACACACACACACACACACACACACACACACACACACGCAUGACCCCUUUGUCCGGCAUUCGCCAUGAUAGAUCGCUAGCCACUAAAGCUUUUUCUAUUUUCCCUCCCUGUUUAUUAGUGUUCCUUUCUGUCGAAGAGCGUAGGCUCGAAAUGUAAAAGACUUUCUCACUUCCCAAGUGUUAAACUAAUACAUCUGUUUGUUGUUUACACACCCGUCUUUGUCUUUUGUUCUUUUGUAAAUUCUCACUAUAUAUAUAUAUAUAUAUAUAUAUAUAUAUAUAUAUAUAUAUACAUACAUACAUACAUACAUACAUACAUACAUACAUACAUACAUACAUACAUACAUACAUACAUACAUACUUUCUCUUCUAUUUGUAGUGAAUUUAAUAGAUCUCGUUUAACUGAAGAGGUGUAAAACAGAAACGUGUCCCGCUUCCUGCUUUCACCCGUUGGCUUUAAGAUAACGCUCAGUAGAGCCACUGCAAUUAAUCUGCUUUUCCUAUAUUUUCCAAAUUUUCAACUGAUUGAUUGUAUUGCAGUUAUCUCCCUUGCCAGAGCAUUUUAGAUUUUAUAAACUGCUGACUGGAGUUUUCUGCUAUCAAUUGCGUAGAUAAUCUAAGAUAAACAAAGUUAUUCUUUAUCUUUGCUUUUUUUUUUUAUCAAUUCACAUUAAAUACGCGAGAUGACCCUACCAUAUAUUAACUUCCAAUUUUAACACAAGGCCAGCAAUUUCGGUGGUACUCAAUUUAUCGACCCCGAAAGGAUAAAAUGCAAAUCGACCUCGGCGGAAUUUGAACUCAGACCGCGAAGAAUGAUUCGGUCAGCAAGCUACUUUCACAUAUACAUACAUUACAUACAAAUACACACACAUAUUACUGCAUCUUCACAGAUGACUGCCAUCGCCUUAUGCUUUC